rnacentral:rRNA from 1 species
UACGGGGGGGGCAAGCGUUGUUCGGAAUUACUGGGCGUAAAGGGCGCGUAGGCGGCCUGGCAAGUGGAAGGUGAAAUCCCUCGGCUUAACCGAGGAACUGCCCUCCAAACUGCUUGGCUUGAGUCCGGGAGAGGUGAGUGGAAUUCCCAGUGUAGCGGUGAAAUGCGUAGAUAUUGGGAGGAACACCAGUGGCGAAGGCGGCUCUCUGGGACGGUACUGACGCUGAGACGCGAAAGCGUGGGGAGCGAACAGG